ACACUCCUGCGGGAGGCAGCAGUGGGGAAUAUUGGACAAUGGGCGCAAGCCUGAUCCAGCCAUGCCGCGUGAGUGAUGAAGGCCCUAGGGUUGUAAAGCUCUUUCACCGGUGAAGAUAAUGACGGUAACCGGAGAAGAAGCCCCGGCUAACUUCGUGCCAGCAGCCGCGGUAAUACGAAGGGGGCUAGCGUUGUUCGGAUUUACUGGGCGUAAAGCGCACGUAGGCGGACUAUUAAGUCAGGGGUGAAAUCCCGGGGCUCAACCCCGGAACUGCCUUUGAUACUGAUAGUCUUGAGUUCGAGAGAGGUGAGUGGAAUUCCGAGUGUAGAGGUGAAAGUCGUAGAUAUUCGGAGGAACACCAGUGGCGAAGGCGGCUCACUGGCUCGAUACUGACGCUGAGGUGCGAAAGCGUGGGGAGCAAACAGGAUUAGAAACCCGAGUAGUCCCAUGAU
rnacentral:rRNA from 1 species